rnacentral:rRNA from 1 species
UACGUAGGGAGCGAGCGUUGUUCGGAGUUACUGGGCGUAAAGGGUGUGUAGGCGGUUGUUUAAGUUUGGUGUGAAAUCUCCCGGCUCAACUGGGAGGGUGCGCCGAAUACUGAGCGACUAGAGUGCGGGAGAGGAAAGUGGAAUUCCUGGUGUAGCGGUGAAAUGCGUAGAUAUCAGGAGGAACACCGGUGGCGAAGGCGGCUCUCUGGACCUGUCCUGACGCUCAGGCGCGAAAGCUAGGGGAGCAAACAGG